rnacentral:lncRNA from 1 species
UGACGUCCAUGGUGUGAUUUACCUAAAUCUUAAGUUAGUCAUUGACCAUACAUAUGUAACUCAUGUGCUUUGAUAUAAGUGAAGGCUUAUGUUCUAAAUAUGAUCGAGCUGAUAGCUGGCAUAUUGGGUACAUGACAUGUAUAUGACAUGACUUUACUAGUAACAGUGGAAUUCAUCACUCAAUUAAAGAGUUAAUGAUAUCCUCUCAUUGGCAUUGUGUGGAUUAAUAAAUAUGGAAUGUGGCCACGGGUUACUUGUUCUCAAACGAGCAAUUUAUCACAGUCAUUUGUUGAUAGUGAUCAUAUUAGUCAUUAAGAAGGCAAAAUGGUGACAAUGAG